AUGUCUUCUUGCCCCUUCGCCGAUCUGGUGGUAGUCGCGCUUCUCCUCGCCGUCGUCGCCGUCGUCCUCCUCCGCGCCCUCGCCUGCGCCCCCCGAUCUAUGCACCAGGGGCUCCACGGCUGGAACAAGUCCUCGUCGAUGCUCAGGGACGGGUUCGGGUCUGCUGCGUCAACAACACCGACGUCGUCUUCUACUACACCGACGGCAUCUUCGUCGUCCUCCACCUCUGCUGCUCCGUUCGCGCACCCGUCGCCGUCCUCUGUCCUUGAAGCCACGAAGCCAGCAGAUGAGUCCCUGUCGCCUGAGCCGACUCCAGUUCCGGUCAUGGUGUCCACCACGGCUGAGACCGCGCAGCUGCCUGACGACCCAGAGUUCUACCAGGACCUCCUGCGCGGUCUUCAGCUGCCGGACAUCGACCCGAUGGACUUCCGCGCCGGGCUUGAUGCCCUGGACGUCUCCGAGGCGUCGGCUUACUUGGACGGCGAACAGGACCUGCUGCUCGGUGACUUCGCCGACGAGGAGCUCGACCUGGACAUGGACCUCGACAUCGGCGACGACUUCCUGGAGAUGCCCGGCUGCGACUUCGGCCGAGGCAUGGAUGAUUUCCUGCAUACCGUCGAUUUCUGCGUGUGA
rnacentral:rRNA from 1 species